rnacentral:lncRNA from 1 species
AUCCGACAACUUCAGACUUAUAAUUGAUACUACUUCAUGGCCUAAAUACGUGUAGUAUUUGUAUCUGUAGUACGUACCAUACUCUGUGUGACGACUCAAUCUGGAGACUCACUAAAGUUCGUGUUGUGUGACACACCUGGAAUCGAAGAUUCCACCGGACUCAACGAGAAUGAGUGUAGUAGCCUUUUAGACGGUAACAUGCCCAACUUUUAUCAGCUCAAUCAAGACAAUGAGCUACCAAAUAAAGGUUCUGAGGAGGAGAUCACUACACAAGACAGGAUAGAUUGUGUUCUUUUAUGUGCUGGAUGCAAUCACACUGGAUGUUGGGUCAUCUAAAGUUGUAGAAAAAAAGAAAAAUUUCCAACGCUUCAUGAACCAAAGAGAAAUUCCACAACUAGCUGUAACGACAAAGAUCGACAAACGCAGCAAAUACGUUAAACAGGAUAUAUCGUUCGCUUACAAACGCUGGAUAGUUGAGGAACACGUCAAAACGGUAUUACAACUUCUUGGUGUUCGCCGAUCCAAUGUAUUUCGAAUGAAGAACUACGAGGACGAAAAAGGAACACGAUACAAACAAAAGCAUCCUCACAUUGCUUGCUUUAAACAAGAUUUUAGAUUCGGUUGAAGAUUAGAUGUACAAUCUUCAAGAUCGGAAUUAAAAAAUGUUUGCCCAAAUGGACUAUUUGUGAAAAGUAAUGAAAGUUUGCAUUGGGACAUUUAUUGCAGAUACAGAAAACAGAUUAUUUGAUUAACAUAGAACGAAAAUGUAUCAGUUAUGCACACAAAAUUAAAUUAUACACUUCCGUAUUCUUUCCAUAUUGUAUGUAAAUUCAGUCGGGAGUAUAUAAAUAGUUCAGCAAUAUUUACAGUAUUUGCGAAUAAUGGACCAUCUUGAGAUUAAAUGCUACCGUGCUUCUAUUGCAAAUAAACUGAUAUGAAAUAUAUAGGACAAAAAAUAACAUGCAUGCACUGUGGAAUAAUUCGACUAACACGCAUCUGUAAACACAUCUAUAUUCUGCAUUAUGUCAAAUUGACCAUUUCCGAUCGUAUACGAAUUCUUCACAUAUGAUUCCUGUCAUCCUUAGGCCGUAACAGAAAAUUACUUCUCCUACCAACGGGAGAAUGCUAAAAUCGCAUACGGAAAAUACGUUGAUCAAACGGAAAAUGCGGAUUGG